rnacentral:rRNA from 1 species
UAGGGAAUCUUCGGCAAUGGACGAAAGUCUGACCGAGCAACGCCGCGUGAGUGAAGAAGGUUUUCGGAUCGUAAAACUCUGUUGUUAGAGAAGAACAAGGACGUUAGUAACUGAACGUCCCCUGACGGUAUCUAACCAGAAAGCCACGGCUAACUACGUGCCAGCAGCCGCGGUAAUACGUAGGUGGCAAGCGUUGUCCGGAUUUAUUGGACGUAAAGCGAGCGCAGGCGGUUUCUUAAGUCUGAUGUGAAAGCCCCCGGCUCAACCGGGGAGGGUCAUUGGAAACUGGGAGACUGGGGUGCAGAAGAGGAGAGUGGAAUUCCAUGGGUGGCGGUGAAAUGCGUAGAUAUAUGGAGGAAAACCAGUGGCGAAGGCGGCUCUCUGGUCUGUAACGGACGCUGAGGCUCGAAGGCGUGGGGAGCAAACAGG